rnacentral:rRNA from 1 species
CACGGAGUUAGCCGAUGCUUUUUCUUCAGGUACUCUCGCCGCACCACUCGUGGCGCUCCUUGCUCCCUGACAAAAGAGGUUUACAAUCCGUAGGACCGUCUUCCCUCACGCGACUUGGCUGGUUCAGGCUCUCGCCCAUUGACCAAUAUUCCUCACUGCUGCCUCCCGUAGGAGUCUGGUCCGUGUCUCAGUACCAGUGUGGGGGACCUUCCUCUCAGAACCCCUACGCAUCGUCGCCUUGGUGGGCCGUUACCCCGCCAACCAGCUAAUGCGACGCAUGCCCAUCCGUAACCGGAAUCGCUUCCUUUGAUCCUCCGGGGAUGUCCCCGGAGAAUGUUAUGCGGUAUUAGACGGAAUUUCUUCCGCUUAUCCCCCUGUUACGGGCAGGUUGCAUACGUGUUACUCACCCGUGCGCCGGUCGCCGGCAAGAAAAGCAAGCUUCUCUCCCGCUGCCCCUCGACUUGCAUGUGUUAAGCCUGUCGCUAGCGUUCAUCCUGAGCCAGGAUCAAACUCUC